rnacentral:rRNA from 1 species
AUUGAACGCUGGCGGCAUGCCUUACACAUGCAAGUCGAACGGCAGCGGGGACUUCGGUCCGCCGGCGAGUGGCGAACGGGUGAGUAAUGUAUCGGAACGUACCAUUCAGUGGGGGAUAACUAUCCGAAAGGAUAGCUGAUACCGCAUAUUCUGUGAGCAGGAAAGCAGGGGAUCGCAAGACCUUGCGCUGAUUGAGCGGCCGAUAUCAGAUUAGCUAGUUGGUGAGGUAACGGCUCACCAAGGCUACGAUCUGUAGCGGGUCUGAGAGGAUGCUCCGCCACACUGGGACUGAGACACGGCCCAGACUCCUACGGGAGGCAGCAGUGGGGAAUUUUGGACAAUGGGCGCAAGCCUGAUCCAGCCAUGCCGCGUGAGUGAAGAAGGCCUUCGGGUUGUAAAGCUCUUUCGGCCGGGAAGAAAUCGCAUCAGCUAAUACCUGGUGUGGAUGACGGUACCGGAAUAAGAAGCACCGGCUAACUACGUGCCAGCAGCCGCCGUAAGAC